rnacentral:rRNA from 1 species
AUUGAACGCUGGCGGCAGGCCUAACACAUGCAAGUCGAACGAGUGGCGGACGGGUGAGUAAUGUCUGGGAAACUGCCCGAUGGAGGGGGAUAACUACUGGAAACGUUAGCUAAUACCGCAUACCAUCUGAUGUGCCCAGAUGGGAUUAUCUAGUAGGUGGGGUAAAUGCUCACCUAGGCGACGAUCACUAGCUGGUCUGAGAGGAUGACAAGCCACACGGGAACUGAGACACGGUCCAGACUCCUACGGGAGGAGGCAGUGGGGAAUAUUGCACAAUGGGCGAAAGCCUGAUGCAGCCAUGCCGCGUGUAUGAAGAAGGCCUUCGGGUUGUAAAGUACUUUCAGCGGGGAGGCGUUACCCGCAGAAGAGGCACCGGCUAACUCCGUGCCAGCAGCCGCGGUAAUAC